rnacentral:rRNA from 1 species
CCUACGGGUGGCAGCAGUGAGGAAUAUUGGUCAAUGGACGAGAGUCUGAACCAGCCAAGUAGCGUGAAGGAUGACUGCCCUAUGGGUUGUAAACUUCUUUUAUAUGGGAAUAAAACGUUCCACGUGUGGGAUUUUGUAUGUACCAUAUUAAUAAGGAUCGGCUAACUCCGUGCCAGCAGCCGCGGUAAUACGGAGGAUCCGAGCGUUAUCCGGAUUUAUUGGGUUGAAAGGGAGCGUAGGUGGAUUGUUAAGUCAGUUGUGAAAGUUUGCGGAUCAACCGUAAAAUUGCAGUUGAAACUGGCAGUCUUGAGUACAGUAGAGGUGGGCGGAAUUCGUGGUGUAGCGGUGAAAUGCUUAGAUAUCACGAAGAACUCCGAUUGCGAAGGCAGUUCACUGGACUGCAACUGACACUGAGGCUCGAAAGUGUGGGUAUCAAACAGGAUUAGAUACCCGAGUAGUC